rnacentral:rRNA from 1 species
ACGGAAGGCAGCAGUGGGGAAUAUUGGGCAAUGGACGAAAGUCUGACCCAGCGACGCCGCGUGAAGGAAGACGGUCUUCGGAUUGUAAACUUCUUUUAUAUGGGACGAAAAAAUGACGGUACCAUAUGAAUAAGCCACGGCUAACUACGUGCCAGCAGCCGCGGUAAUACGUAGGUGGCGAGCGUUAUCCGGAUUUACUGGGUGUAAAGGGUGUGUAGGCGGGAUUGCAAGUCAGAUGUGAAAACUAUGGGCUUAACUCAUAGCCUGCAUUUGAAACUGUAGUUCUUGAGGGUCGGAAAGGUAACUGGAACUCCUAGUGUAGCGGUGAAAUGCGCAGAUAUUAGGGAGAACACCGGUGGCGAAGGCGGGUUACUGGACGAUUACUGACGCUGAGACACGAAAGUGUGGGGAGCAAACAGGAUUAGAUACCCUGGUA